ensembl:snRNA U6 U6 spliceosomal RNA
GUGCUCAAUUCGGCACACACAUAGUAAGACUGGAAAGAUCCAGAGAAGAUUAGUAUGGCCCCCAUGCAAGGAUGACACACAAAUUCAUGAAGCAUUCCAUAUUAAA